UCAACUCUAGUUCUGUCACCAUCUCCCAUCCCUGGCUAGCCGGAAAGCCAAAUAUUUUUGACAUUAGCUAUUUGGCUAAUGAACAUACAUCUGAUGUUCUCUUAGUUCUGACAUCGGUUAUAAAUUCAGCCGAAUCCACGACAAUGAGGCCCAAAUUAAACUCAGACGUGUUAAAUAUGGAGCACACAACAUAUAAAUAGCAAUGACACUUUAGAAGAAAAUAGAGCUCUUCAAUCAGCAUUACAAUUAAAAAAAAAAGAAAAUGACUGCUUUGGGCCAGGUGCUUUACAUACACAUAAAUGAUUUCAUUGAGCCCUCUAGUUUAGUCUUCCUGAAUCAAGUGCUUUAAAUUCCAUUAAAAAAAUAAAGGUUAAGUGAUUUGUUCACAAAUCCAUGAAGCAUACAUAUGAGUCCAGAUUUAAAGACAUUUUUUUCUGCCUAAAAUUCACAUACAGCACAGAACCACUUGUGUAUUUCAGGAUUCCAGCAAGAAACAGCACAUGCAGAUUAGAGUAAUCGAUGGAGGGGUUAAUAAAAAGACUGUUGCCAAAGGCAUAACUGGGCAGUAGGAAACCCACAAAGGCACUACCCCAGGCCUGUACCACCCCCCAGGAUACGGCCAGCUGGAGGCAACGCACCCAGCCCACCACCCACAGUGACGGAGUCAGGGUAACAAACUCCUUAUUCUCCUCCCUCCACUCAAUGCCUUGCUUAGGUCCUUCGUGUGCCAACUCCAACCAAAAGGCGUAGGACAAGGGAGUGGGGGGGUGGUCCUCACUGCUGCCCACUGGAGCAGAGAGCAGGACGGGAGUGGUGGGCAGUGCCUAAGGAGAGGCAAAGAGAAUAGCUCAGCAGAUGCUGAAAUAUUUCUAACUAUUGGUUUGAGCAUAGAAACAACAUAGGCUUCACAUUCAUUUAAAUAUGCUAAAUAUUUAAUCUCUUGAAAAUAAAGUUGAAAACCAGCAGCUAAAGACCUUUGCACUGAAUCUUUUUAAAUGUAUUAAGAAUCAAAGGUGAGUUUGUUCAUUUGGGGAAAAUAUCCAAAGAAAAAUCACAGGAACAAUGCCAAGGGCUCAAGAAAAACCUUUGUUGGCUGACAAGGGAACACUUCGGUGCACCGCUAAACUUAGUGCGACGUGAAGAAUGUGAGGACAGCACUCCACAUGCAGAUAGGGUAACAGGAAGGGGAGGAACUGGGGAGCUUGAAAAACAUAGAGGAUGAUGGGGCAUGUGGUGCAGAGGAAGGACCACUCUUGACACCCCACUUCUCCUAUGAUAACUGGUAUGACUGCCACUAAGCCUGGGCACCCCUCAAGCAGCAAGAUGCCAUCUCUACCCUAUUUGGGGCUGCUUAGUGACACGGUGGGUGUAGCAUCUCCUCUGUGCAAGCACACCAAAGCUUUCUUUUAGCACGUGUAGAGUUUCAUAUUUUAUACUAAAUCUUUGACUUCUCUAGAAUUUAUUUUGGUGGAAGGGAAUAAACUCUUUUUUCCCAAAUGGCUAUAGUUGUACAAAUACCUGUUGUCAACUCAAUCAUCCUUCCCCCACUAUUUGAAGUUCUAUAUUUAUUACACAAUAAAUUCCUGUGGGAAAUGCCAAUAACUGGAAUGGAGAAACUAAAUAGAGGAAAAAAUUCCAUUCCCACUAAAACACCAUAUGUAUGCUUU